rnacentral:rRNA from 1 species
AUUGAACGCUGGCGGCAUGCCUUACACAUGCAAGUCGAACGGCAGCACGGGAGCAAUCCUGGUGGCGAGUGGCGAACGGGUGAGUAAAGUAUCGGAACGUGCCCAGUCGUGGGGGAUAACGUAGCGAAAGUUACGCUAAUACCGCAUACGAUCUAUGGAUGAAAGCGGGGGAUCGCAAGACCUCGCGCGAUUGGAGCGGCCGAUAUCAGAUUAGGUAGUUGGUGGGGUAAAGGCUCACCAAGCCGAAGAUCUGUAGCUGGUCUGAGAGGACGGCUGGCCGCACUGGGACUGUGACACGGCCCAGACUCCUACGGGAGGCAGCAGUGGGGAAUUUUGGACAAUGGGCGAAAGCCUGAUCCAGCCAUGCCGCGUGCAGGAUGAAGGCCUUCGGGUUGUAGACUGCUUUUGUACGGAACGAAAAGGUUUGGCCUAAUAAGCUGAGCUCAUGACGGUACCGUAAGAAUAAGCACCGGCUAACUACGUGCCAGCCGCCGCUGUAA